rnacentral:rRNA from 1 species
GUCCUUUAACUGACGCUAAAGCUCGAAAGUGCGGGUAUCGAACAGGAUUAGAUACCCUGGUAGUCCGCACGGUAAACGAUGGAUGCCCGCUGUUUGCGAUAUAUUGUAAGCGGCCAAGCGAAAGCGUUAAGCAUCCCACCUGGGGAGUACGCCGGCAACGGUGAAACUCAAAGGAAUUGACGGGGGCCCGCACAAGCGGAGGAACAUGUGGUUUAAUUCGAUGAUACGCGAGGAACCUUACCCGGGCUUGAACUGCAGGAGAACGAUACAGAGAUGUUGAGGUCCUUCGGGACUCCUGUGGAGGUGCUGCAUGGUUGUCGUCAGCUCGUGCCGUGAGGUGUCGGCUUAAGUGCCAUAACGAGCGCAACCCCUUUCUUCAGUUGCCAUCAGGCUAUGCUGGGCACUCUGGAGACACUGCCACCGUAAGGUGUGAGGAAGGUGGGGAUGACGUCAAAUCAGCACGGCCCUUACGUCCGGGGCUACACACGUGUUACAAUGGGUGAUACAGAGAGUUGGGUGCCGGCAACGUCGCUCUAAUCUUUAAAGUCAUCCUCAGUUCGGAUUGGGGUCUGCAACCCGACCCCAUGAAGCUGGAUUCGCU